GGGGGAAUGCGUAUGCUAUCAUGCAGUCGAGCGAAAGACGAGGAGCUUGCUCCUUUGACGUUAGCGGCGGACGGGUGAGUAACACGUGGGUAACCUACCUAUAAGACUGGGAUAACUUCGGGAAACCGGAGCUAAUACCGGAUAAUAUUUCGAACCGCAUGGUUCGAUAGUGAAAGAUGGCUCUGCUAUCACUUAUAGAUGGACCUGCGCCGUAUUAGCUAGUUGGUAAGGUAACGGCUUACCAAGGCAACGAUACGUAGCCGACCUGAGAGGGUGAUCGGCCACACUGGAACUGAGACACGGUCCAGACUCCUACGGGAGGCAGCAGUAGGGAAUCUUCCGCAAUGGGCGAAAGCCUGACGGAGCAACGCCGCGUGAGUGAUGAAGGUCUUCGGAUCGUAAAACUCUGUUAUUAGGGAAGAACAAACGUGUAAGUAACUGUGCACGUCUUGACGGUACCUAAUCAGAAAGCCACGGCUAACUACGUGCCAGCAGCCGCGGUAAUACGUAGGUGGCAAGCGUUAUCCGGAAUUAUUGGGCGUAAAGCGCGCGUAGGCGGUUUUUUAAGUCUGAUGUGAAAGCCCACGGCUCAACCGUGGAGGGUCAUUGGAAACUGGAAAACUUGAGUGCAGAAGAGGAAAGUGGAAUUCCAUGUGUAGCGGUGAAAUGCGCAGAGAUAUGGAGGAACACCAGGGGCGAAGGCGACUUUCUGGUCUGUAACUGACGCUGAUGUGCGAAAGCGUGGGGGAUCAAACAGGAUUAGAUACCCUGGUAGUCCAGCCCGUAAACGAUGAGUGCUAAGUGUUAAGGGGGUUUCCGCCUCCUUUAUUGCUGCAGCUACACUCAUUAAUAACAUCCUCCCUGGUGGUGUAGUACCUG
rnacentral:rRNA from 1 species